CGGAACCAAACCGUUCGUGCUGCCAUUUCCGGGUGGGUGCCUGAGUAUGUUACAAUGGAUCGGUAGCUCGCGUCCGGCGGAGGUCCCUCCAGAGAGGACCGCGAGCUGAGAGACUGAGUCCUUGUUCGAAGGAGCUUGAGCCGCAGAUAUCGGGGCACCCGCGCUGGGCCUGUUGGGCAGGUUGUCCUACCUAGUGGAUCGGAGAGUGCGCCCGGCAAAAGAACAAGACUCUUGGCUACGGUGUCCCGGUGUCGGGACGGUGUUGGGAGAGGUGCCUCACGCGAUGCUACUAAUGGCUCACACCUGCAACAUUUUCUGGAGGCUUGCCCUUAGUAGAUUGGAGCAACAUCACCAGGAGGUGUCUGGAAGUUAUGCACCACUCAUCCCUGUAACAGUCAGUAAACAGUGACUGCCUAAUGCCCGAUAUGGAGAUCUCUGAGUCUCCCCUAUCCUCUUUGUAUGAUACCCUCUUAUAACCUGGAGAGGAGAGCCAAGAAGCUGCCAAGGUUGUAGCAUGGUGGUGUUUACCUCAGAAAGCAACCACCUGGGAGUGACACAGAAGAAGAUGCAGUUACAACAGCUGGUACAUACUGUUCACCAUCUUGAGAGGAGCAAACCUUUCAAGUGCUGUCUUCUUUUCAUCAAGAAGUGCCUUUUUUACUGGUGAAGCAGAGAAUAAUCAAUACGAGUAGAUCAAGAUCAUAAGUUUUGUGAUAACUUCUCAGG